UUCAGCAUUAUUUUUUUGAAUAAGUUGCAGCGUUUUUAUGACAGUAUUGCUGUGAAGUGUGCAUCCAUAUUGUAUGAUCAUUGGUAGCAAAAUGCUUGGUUCCAGUAAUUAAAGAAAAAGAAUGAAAGCAUAAAUCAAAAUACGUAUAUGCUGNAUUGUAAAAGCAAGAGGAACCGUGCCAAUUGACAUAAGUCUGAAACUGGAUGCAUAGUUUUCAGCAGUUCAUUUAGGCAUUUCUUCAAACACUUUUGCCUAAAUUUCAUUUGAGUUGAAUUGAAUGUUUCUGCAACUUAUCUUUGUUUCUUGCUUUUCAAAUAUACUCUAGAACCUUUCCUAAGUUCCUUUUGAGUGCCAUCUAUCAUUGAACACCGAUUAAUUGCUUGAUUUUUGAUUGUUUGGACUUCUGCACACCAACUGUUUGUUAUAUUUCCAGUGGUGUGUUCUGUUAUGUUAUCAUUGCAGCAGCAAAAGUCCCAAUUUCUGCACUCAAACUUGAUGAAUGUGGAUUGGUGUGAGCUCAUUUGUGGUUACAACAUUGUUGUAGACGGCUUGACAUAAUUGGUAGCACUUUAGGAAGAGGAUUGGUGAAGGAAAAGAUCACUUGGAAGGAUGCAAUUCGGCACAGCAGUGCACUCGUAAGCUGCAAAUUCUGGUGUGGAAUUUCCAUGUGACAGCAGCUUCCUUACUAUGCAGCUGUAAGCUUUGUGAGAAUCCAAUUGCAGAUUCAAUUUUCUUGAGAGAAGCCAAAGCUGCACACCAAAUUUUUUUUACCAUUUCUGAGUACUGAAACAGCAGAACUGCACAAACACCCUUGCAGUUGAGAGAUUUGAGGCUGCCUACAGUGCAGUGUUCAAUUAUUCUGAGAAUCCAAAGUUGCAGUGCCACACUUUUUCCCCUUUCUUUGUGCACAGUUGUCUGCUAAUCUUGUUACUAAAUCUAAAUCAUUAAUUGAAAUCACAAGUAUAAAUGAAUUUAGAUCAAAAGUUGAACUGAUUUUGUCAAAUAUAUUUGCUGAUUUCCACUUUGCUUGGAGUAUUUGUUGUUUGGCAUGUUACAGCUAUGCAGAUGUAAUUUGGAAAGUAUUAUAGCAUUGGUUGCAGCAGUGGAAAUUGUGUAGACUUUCAACACGGCACAAGAGAAAAACAGCCGCAACAGCAGAUCUUCCAAUCAAGUUCAUUCUGCAACAUAUGCAUUUGGCAGCAAAACCACAAACCCCUGUGCAGCAGGGGAAAAUUGGAUCCAUCCUCCACAUCCAUUGCAGUAAAGCCGAGAGAAAGAAUUGGUGCAGUUGAGUUUUUUAAGCAGCAGCAAGGCACCAAAGCUGAGAACGGAAAGUGAAACCACAAGCUAGGAGACUCCAAAAGUAGCCAGCACAUGAAUUUGAACAAGAACCAGAAUGUGGCAGCAGCUGUUCUACUUUUCUUUGUAAUUGUAGUGUUCAUUUUUGAAUUGUAAUAGGUUUUCUGUGUUAGAUUUCUUUAAAGUGUAAAAGGCCAUUCCAAGUCCAAGUGUUUUUGGAAGAGUCCUUGGUGCUCCUUCAACUCUUGGCAAUUGUUUGCUUUACAUUUAGCUUAGACUGGUGAGUGUGUCUUGCUAGCCAAAGCUACAAGCCUCACCUUAGGAGUAGAAUUUUAUCUUACUUUUUUGUAUGUGAUUUUGUAUGUCGCUUAGGGACGUAGGAUUUAUUAGAGUCCG
rnacentral:lncRNA from 1 species